GUUUGUGAACGUAUUGUUUUCAUUGAGAUCGUCCAGUUCAUCGCGAGGCCGGCUGAGAAGAGCGAGACCAAGGAGAGCGGACGCCAUAAGAGGAUGGAGCGAUUGCGGAGAAGCUUCCGCGAAAGUUUCCGUCGCCGCAAAGACCACGUCCCCGAGAGUUCAAAACCGCACCAAUGGCAGUCGGACGAGGCUGCCGUUCGAGCUGGAACUUGCAAUUUUUACGUCAAGUAUCUGGGAUGCGUGGAAGUGUACGAGUCACGUGGUAUGCCUGUUUGCGAGGAAGCACUCAAAGUGCUCAGGAAUUCUAGACGUCGACCAGUAAAAGGCGUUCUGCACAUUUCCGGCGAUGGAUUACGAGUUGUCGAAGAAGACACCAAAGGAUUGAUUGUCGACCAGACGAUUGAGAAAGUCUCCUUUUGUGCUCCGGAUCGUAAUCACGAAAAAGGAUUCUCGUACAUCUGUCGUGAUGGUACUACGCGUCGUUGGAUGUGCCACGGAUUCUUGGCCAGCAAAGACUCGGGAGAGCGGUUGAGUCAUGCAGUGGGUUGCGCUUUUGCCGUUUGCUUGGAACGGAAACAAAAACGAGAUAAGGAGUGCAGCGUGACGAUGAAUUUCGACACCUCCAACUCUACAUUCACGCGCUCGGGCAGUUUUAGAGCAGCGCCCUUGACGGAACGCAUUCAAGAUCCGCAGGAAUACAGACCGGCCGAACCACCGGCGCCGGCCAAGGCAGUGGUCAAUCCGUUCGCCAUUGAACGUCCCCACGCUGCUCCGCACCUGCUCGAGCGACAAGGCUCAUUUCGUGGGCUCUCCCAGCUCAAUCAGAGUUCACCUUUCAAACGUCAGAUGUCGCUUCGAAUCGGAGAUUUACCCUCGACCGUCGAACGCCAACAAAACUCGUUGAGCAAUGAAGCACCCAGCUACAAGUCCAACCUGAUCGUCACGCCUGUGACUCCGAUUCCGGAAACUUCGCCUAUGGUAGAACGUUCCAACGCAGUUAGCGCCAUGUGUCAGCAGCUAUCCCAAGGAUUGUCACUCUUAUCGUCUACUGAUGAUCCCUUCCUGGUGGACAACAAAGUCAACAUGGUCCCACCCACUAACGGAUUCCAGGUGAACAAUAAGGAAGCGUCGGUGAACAAUCCAAUGUCACGAGGGGAACAGUGGCUGGGCAGUUUAACGGCCAGCGUGGCGUCCCAAGGACCGAGCUCGCUGCCGCCACGUCGCCCGCCUGCCUUGAUGGCUCAUUCACGAUCCCAAUCACUAGGAUCGCCCCCAGAAGCUCCUUCCAUUGCUCCGGCCAGUCAUUCUUUGGCCACUCCGCCACCACACUUGCCGGCGAUACCACCGCGCAGUCCUUUCCACACGGCUCUUCAUUCCUCUUCUUCUUCGCCCACCAGUACGCCGGCACAUCAUUCCCCGUCAAUCACCAAUCGAACAAACGCACUAAUAUCGGAUCCGUUCGACGCCGAAUGGGCCGCUUUAGCCACGCGCAGUCCCAGCAACACAAAUCCUUUUCUUCAGAAUUCUGUCGUCAAGACCUUUGAAGUUCGUAUGUAGAGACGAUGGCACACUUCUUUUCAGUAAUUCUUCCUUCCCCCGUUACCCUGAGACAACUAACCCAUCAGUGGUUUUACCUUUUUUUUUUAAAUGCCAGACUGAUUUGAUGUAUUAUAUAUACCUCUCCCAUACCAACCCUUAAAAAUUCCUUCUUUCUUUAAUUUUUCUUUCAAGAAAACACAGACAUUCCUAUACUUCGUGUGCCGGAACGCUCUUAAUUUUGCCAUCAUCAUUUUUUGUGCUUUGUUUUUCCUCUUAGAUAUCAUUUGAUUUGAUCCCUGCCAAUUCAAAGUUUGCCCCUUGUGCAACGAUGGCGGGAUAUGAACCUUUACAACAGUUCUAAAAAUUUGCGAUGCCCAUUCCCUAUAUUUCGCUGAGCUGUCAAAGCUGGCCAGAUCUCGCGCGUGGGUAUUGAAACAUGAACUAAUUCCAUCCUUUUAUUUUAAAUUUCGCAUCGACUUGGUCAUGUAGUGAUGCUGUCGGCUGAAAUUAGUAGAUAGGGUGAGGAGAGACGGGAACGAACGAUUAUUUUGGUUAACUUUUGUUUUUAGUUUUGUCGUCCAUUUCGCACCAGACUGUUGCCCUCCUAAACAACGGACAAUUAACGAUUUGAUUUCGAUCCGCAGGCUUUUUUUCAUGGAAGCGCGGACUCUUGCACAAUUUUGUACAUCUCUUUAUCUUUAAACUAAACGAAAAACAAACCAACAAAAAACAGACAAAAGAGGAAGAAAUUAUUAUAAUAAGCUCUGUCGUGUGUGUGUUUCUAUGUAUAUAAUAACAAUGUCAAGGACUACCCCGAUCGUAUUCGGGCAAGAGUUGUUUCGAACGAAAUUUAAGACUUGCAACGUGGUGCCGUAUAGCAUAAAAUAAGUGAUAGAUGAUGAUGAUUCACACGCUCAGUGAUUGUUUCGUCAAAGAAAAUGAGUAUGGGCUUUGUGUGGAGGGUGGGGGACAUCGGACACUAUUCUAAAUUAUACGCACCGAUUUGCUUCUUGCAGACCAUUUUCUCGCCGCUGUUUAUUUGUUGAUGAUCAUUAAUAACUGUGUGCCCUACUUUCCCAUCUGCUGUGGCCGUGUUUUGUAAGAAUUUCGGAGCCGGACGCCUUUACCGAUGUCUAUUUCUACACCAUUCAGGCACACGUUCAACCAACAAAUGAAGGCAUAACAUUUCCGAUUUUGUCGCUUUUCACUCCCAUCUUUCCCUUUUCCUUCCUUUUAUUUCAUCCUUCUUAUUUUUUUUUUGCCAAGGAAUGUUUCAAAGUGUGUUUAUAUAUAUAACCUUAAUCACACUUUACAAAAAUCUACAAAAAUUCUUAAUCAACCCUAAAAUUUGAUGGACUUUCUUCAAUGUUGUAACGACAAUACAAUCUUCUCGUUCUCAUCCGUUAGCUUUUCCCUAGUUUAUGAUAAACUUGAUAGGGUGAGUUUCUAUUGCGGUCUAAGGUUUUGAUAAAGGAAAAUGGGUUCAUGAGAUAAACAAAUAAAUGGCCAUAUGAAUUUGUUAUCUAGGUAAGUGAUAUCUUUCAUUUCUUUCAGAUUGCUUUCAGUUUUUGUUGUUUUACAAUCGUACGGUUAUAAACUUAUGCAUUAUUGCUUCGAGGAAAAACCUUUAACCUGAAUUAUAUAUGUAAGUCCCAACUUUUUGCGUUAAAGUUGUGACGGUAAUAACAAUUUCUAGGUUACAGUAGCGACUUGAAUUAUUGAUCAAACGUUUUCAACUUUCUUGCGAUAAAAAGUUGGGUUAGCCACCAGCAGGAAUACUUUUAUCGUUAUAAUCCUAUGACGUACAAUUAACUCAGUAAAUCGAUAAAACUCUUGUGAAAUUGAAGAUUCUUACAUAUCCAUAUACGAACGCCAACUUUUUAGAAACUCUGACAUAGCUAAGCGUCCGGAAUUAGGAAAUCACCACCAUGUUUGUGAGUAAACAUCAAACGCUCUUAUAGCCUCUAGGUGAAAUCUUUGAAUUAUUCUGGCGCAUGCCCGUUGCGUUUGAGAUCCUGCAGAUGAAAAAUGUUGUUGUUUACCGGCGCCAGCAAAAGAACCAGUUCAGUCCGGUUUUAGCAUAUAAGACAUCUCGCACGCGGGUCUGUAUACUGUCGCAUCGGCAUGGGAAGCAUCAACGCGGAUAGAAUCAAGUUACUUCUGUACGGCUGUGAAGUCGUACCCCGUAUCAGUGAAACUAAGUCGUCAUGAUAUCGCAAUCGGAAAUCAAGCCACUUAUUUUAUCGACAAGUGAGUCGAAGUGGAGCAUAAUUCUCUAUCCGAACACGCGAAACAAUGUUGAUGUACCGUUUUCUGUGAGCAGUCGAUGUUUCAAGACCAAUAUCAACUGGACUAAUUUCGUCAAACCAGGAGAAGAAGUCAGGAAGAACGAUCCAACAUGACCGAAAAAACUG
rnacentral:misc_RNA from 1 species